UAGGGGCUGCCCUAUGUGUAUCCUCUUGGACCUAUAGUGGCUGAAUGUCCUUUUUGAGAUCCUGCAGCUGUUGACCCUGAGUGGGAGAAUGCCUUAUCCAGGUGUAGUCUUGUGCACACCUUUCCAGACCCAUAGCAGUGGUUUGGUUGCAGAGCUGUGAUUAUAUGGACAUUCUCCACACUUGGUAUACAGCAGUUCAGACAUGCAGCCCCAUUGGAAUGUGCUGAUAGAG